AGGCACGAACUCUAACCCCUCAGACGGCAGAAACAGAUGCAAUAAGAUUUUUGGUUGGGACACAGUCUCUUAGAUAUGAUAAUCAGAUUCACAUCAUAGAUUUUGAUGAUGAAAAUAACAUUAUAAA